GAUGAAGAACGCAUCGAAAUGCGAUAAGUAAUGUGAAUUGCAGAAUUCAGUGAAUCAUCGAAUCUUUGAACGCACAUUGCGCCCCCUGGUAUUCCGGGGGGCAUGCCUGUCCGAGCGUCAUUACAACCCUCAAGCUCAGCUUGGUGUUGGGCCCCGCCGCCCCGGCGGGCCCUAAAGUCAGUGGCGGUGCCGUCCGGCUCCGAGCGUAGUAAUUCUUCUCGCUCUGGAGGUCCGGUCGUGUGCUCGCCAGCAACCCCCAAUUUUUUUCAGGUUGACCUCGGAUCAGGUAGGGAUACCCGCUGAACUUAAGCAUAUCAAUAAGCGGAGGA
rnacentral:misc_RNA from 1 species